GGCAAACGGGUGAGUAAACGCGUGGGCGUACCUACCUUCGAGUGGGGGAAUAACCCUUACCGAAAAGGAGGGCGUAAUUACCGCAUGACAUCCUCGUGUUUGGAUACACGGACUAUCAAAGUCAGGGGUAUCUGCCAAGACCUUGACCGCUUGAAGAGGGGCCCGCUGUCCGAUUAGCUAGUUGGUGGGGUAACUGGCUCACCAAGGCUCCGAUCUGGUAUCCGGCCUUGAGUAGGGCGGACGGACACACUGGAACUGAGACACGGUCCAGACUCAUAACGGGAGGCAGCAGUGGGGAAUUGUUCGCAAUGGGCGCAAGCCUGACGACGCAACGCCGCGUGGAGGAUGAAGACCUUCGGGUCGUAAACUCCUUUCGACCGAGAUGAAUUCCUGCCGGCCUAACACGCCGGCGGGGUGACAGUAUCGAGGGAAGCAGCCCCGGCUAACUCCGUGCCAGCCGCCGCGG
rnacentral:rRNA from 1 species